GCGCCCGUAGCCCAACGGCAGAGGCAACGGCUUUAGGUGCCGUCCAGUGUGAGUUCGAAUCUCACCGGGCGCA
rnacentral:tRNA from 2 species